rnacentral:rRNA from 1 species
CCUACGGGAGGCAGCAGUGAGGAAUAUUGGUCAAUGGGCGCGAGCCUGAACCAGCCAAGUAGCGUGAAGGAUGACUGCCCUAUGGUUUGUAAACUUCUUUUAUAUGGGAAUAAAGUGAGGAACGUGAUCAUUUUUGUAUGUACCAUAUGAAUAAGCAUCGGCUAACCCCGCGCCAGCAGCCGCGGUAAUACGGAGGAUGCGAGCGUUAUCCGGAUUUAUUGGGUUUAAAGGGUGCGUAGGUGGUUAAUUAAGUCAGCGGUGAAAGUUUGUGGCUCAACCAUAAAAUUGCCGUUGAAACUGGUUGACUUGAGUAUAUUUGAGGUAAGCGGAAUGCGUGGUGUAGCAGUGAAAUGCAUAGAUAUCACGCAGAACUCCGAUUGCGAAGGCAGCUUACUAACCUAUAACUGACACUGAAGCACGAAAGCGUGGGUAUCAAACAGGAUUAGAUACCCUGGUAGUC